AGGAUCAUUAACGAGUAAGGGUCCUGACCGGCCCGACCUCCAACCCUUUGUCGUUGAAAAACCACUGUUGCUUUGGCGGGACAGCGGGUCCCCAGGGGCCCGCCGCCGGUCUUCGGCCCGGCGAGCGCCUGCCAGAGUCCAACCAUAAAUCUUGUCAUAGAACAGUACGUCUGAGUAAAUUGAUAAAUCAAUCAAAACUUUCAACAACGGAUCUCUUGGUUCUGGCAUCGAUGAAGAACGCAGCGAAAUGCGAUAAGUAAUGUGAAUUGCAGAAUUCAGUGAAUCAUCGAAUCUUUGAACGCACAUUGCGCCCCUUGGUAUUCCGAGGGGCAUGCCUGUUCGAGCGUCAUUACACCAAUCAAGCACCGCUUGGUAUUAGGCCUUCGUCCCCCGGAAGGGCGGGCGUGCCUCAAAACCUCCGGGGAAGUCACACGGGCUUUGGGCGUAGUAGAAAUAAAACGUCCCGCGGGCCCGGCGAGUCUUCCGCCGUCAAACCUCAAAACCAUUUAACCAGGUUGACC
rnacentral:rRNA from 1 species